CGCGGGAACUUGGUGAAUUAUAUGAGAAAGAACAAGACAUUGAGAAGGCUAUGGACUACUUUGAGCGAGCUGCUGAUCUUUUCCAGAGUGAGGAGGUAACAACGUCUGCAAAUCAAUGCAUGCAGAAAGUUGCUGAAUUUUUCUGCUCAAGCUAGAACAUUUUGAUUGUGAAAUUUUCGUUCCGUUAUAUAUGAAGGCUAUAAUCCAUGGGGUUGAUACGAAUUAAGUAACUACUCCCGAUGCUGAGUAUGAUGUCAUCCGUGCCAGGCUAGCAGCUGAACUUCUAAUGGAAGGAUGUCAACAGAAGAAUCAAGCAGAGACAUUUGAUAAGGAUAGGAGAAAGCUAUUCUAAAAAAUGAUUGGUUGAACCAAAACAUGUGUGCAUGUCUGUAUUGUGUAUAUUAGUUUAGUUGUGUAAACAGUUAAUGUGGAUGACAAACAAUGCAGCAAGCUUGACCUUUAUUA